AUACAGGCAGAGACGAAGACAGUAUUUGUUAGGCGUAGUUAAGCGAUUUGGGGACAGUGAGAGCCCAAACAUGCAACUAACAUUGAACAUCACUUCUGAGCUAAAUAGCUGAAAAAAGUAGGUUAUUUCGUGAUGCACGACGUUAACGUGCUUGAAAGAGGUAGUGCAAUAUUUUUGUGCUACAAGUAGGGUGGUACCGCGAGUAGAAGCUUCUCGUCCCUUAG
rnacentral:ncRNA from 1 species